CUCGCCGCCGGCCGCCGGCCCUCCUCGCCGCCUCCUCCGAGCCCCCUCUUUCGGGCGGAAUUCCAAAUGCCGGCGGGCCGCGGCCAGCACCCCGGAGAGGGGGCAGCGCGCCACCGCGGACAGGCGCGGACCCGGAGGCUGGCAGGACGCGGGGGCUCCACGGGCCUCGCCUCUCCCCCGCCUCCCGGAAGUUCAGCCUGCAGCAGGACAGCCAGAUCCCCAGGGAGAUUGGAGCGAUUCCCCCUCCCCCCACAGAGAGAUGCAAAGUAAUUCACCCAUCCUGGUGAGAUGUCUAACUGCAAAUUCCAGUAGAUGAUGCAUGAUGGGGGCUUGGUGUUUUCAGCAGUAUAGCACAUCGAUCCACGGAGAAAACUACAGAAACCAGUCCACACAGAGAGGACUUUUAGGGUUCAGCUGCCCAUUGAUCUGAGCCCCGGAAUGGAUAUAACUUGCUGCACAGCCUUUGGAAAGCCAUGUAACAUCUCUGCGCCGUUUCCUUGUUUGUGCUAAAUUAUUGCUGAGGCCUCUUCCUGCACCAGCUUUCUAUGCCACUGCAAUUUGACACAAUCCUUGACCAAAUCAUAAAUACCUUGUUA